GGAUGUGAGGGUGAUCUGGCUGCGACAUCUGUCACCUCACUGAUCACCAGGGUUGAUUUGGCUGAUCUGGCUGGCUAGGCGGGUGUCCCCUUCCUCCCUCACCACUCCAUGUGCGUCCCUCCCGAAGCUGCGUGCUCGGUUGAAGAGGACGGCCUUCCCUGAAUAGAGACGGACGACCGUUCUUCGGUCGAGGGUAUGUGAGUAGCUGCGCUCCCCUGCUAGAACCAAGGACAUAAUAUAAUCUUUUUUGAUUGCAGAGUAAUAUUCCAUGGAAUAUAUGUCCCAUAACAUCUUUAGCCAGUCAGUUUAUGAUG
rnacentral:snRNA from 1 species